rfam:Rozella allomycis CSF55 unplaced genomic scaffold scaffold_2006, whole genome shotgun sequence.
AAACCGGUCUUCUUAAAGACCAUCAUUCUUAAAGAUGUUCAAUUUU